CCUCUGGUGUAUCGGUUGUCACGCCAGUGGCAUUGCCGAGUAGCUAAGUGUGGAAGAGAUAACCGCUGAAAGCAUCUAAGCGGGAAACUCGUUUCAAGAUGAGAUCUGCCGGGGCCUUGAGCCCCCUGAAGAGUCGUUCAAGACCAGGACGUUGAUAGGUCAGGUGUGGAAGCGCAGUAAUGCGUUAAGCUAACUGAUACUAAUUGCUCGUGCGGCUUGACCCUAUAACUUUG
rnacentral:rRNA from 1 species